AAAAAAAACAAAAAAAACAAAAAAAGAAAGUCUAUCGACUUUUCAUUUCUGUUCUACCGACUUUUCAUUUCAUUUCUAUCGACGUUCCCAUGCUGUUACGCACAUUUUAAGGCUGUGCCUGUAAUUUUUUUAACGUCCACAAAGGCUAGCUAGGAGGUUAUUCUUCUCCGCUUGACCUCGAGUUACAGAGAUGCCAGAUGAAGUCAAAGAGGAUACCAGAUGCAGCCAGGCGGCUGGGGAGGCACGUACGUCUCAGCUGACCCAGGGCAGCUGUUCUCCAGGGCGCGGCUUGGCCAUGGCGGCGGCCCCAGCGCCCGCAUUCAGCCCAACCCACCAGGUCACCCCAGUCCAGUCCGUGGUGCUCAGAUCCCCAAGCAAUCACAGGUCUGAGGCCGAAAGAACUAUGUGAAUGUGUACGGUGAUAUUAGGCGCACGCUCUGAACGAAGGGAAACCGAAGCACUUCAAGGGGCAGCGUUCAGAGGAGGGGAAAGACUGCAGGGUCUGGGUGUGAUCCCUGCCUGGACUCUCUUAGAAGCUCCACUAUCCUCUUCUCCAGUGAUUUGUCUUCCCAUUCCAGAAUUUCUUACCUUAACCUACUCAGCCUGAGUUAAAUAAGCAUCUGCAUGCAGAAAUAAGUAAGUGGGGGAAUUUGUACUUUUCUGCA